UUGUGGCUCAGGGCUACAGUUGUGUCGCUUCAAAGCAUUAAGACAUGGGUUCGAAUCUCUCGA
rnacentral:tRNA from 15 species